rnacentral:tRNA from 1 species
CGUAAUGAUCGAGCGCCUGCUUGAGCCCCUGCGUCUUCCACACGUCGGUGUGCACGGCCGAGCCGUGCGUGAACGGAUCGAUGCCGUUCGCGACGCC